rnacentral:misc_RNA from 2 species
AACGCAUCUUGCGCUCUUUGGUAUUCCGAAGAGCAUGCCUGUUUGAGUGUCAUGAAACUCUCACCUGCAGCACUCUUUUAUUAGAGGGCUGGAGCGUGGACGUGAGUGCUGCUGGUGCCCUCGCUGCAUCGGCUCACUUGAAAUUUAUUAGCUGAAUCCUCUAGUGUUGGUUCUACUCGACGUGAUAAGAUCUCCGUCGAGGACAGUGCUCCUUGUGGGCGUUGGCCACCGCUAGCUGUUGAUACGCUCCUAAUUAGCGCAGACUUCGAGUGCUGGCAACUUUUGACAACUUGGCCUCAAAUCAGGUAGGACUACCCACUGAACUUAA